UCUUGGAAACGACAUCGCAAAGUCGUAUUUAGCUAGCUUUGCACAGGAAUAUUCAGCCACCUACCUUCGAGUGUCCAAUUUGCAUGGGGCCGCUAGUUGAACAGAUGGCCACAAGGUGCGGUCACAUGUUUUGUGAAGGUUGCAUAAGAGAUAUUCAGGGCAGGUGGGUAAAUGCUGCAAAGUUUUUAACAGAUGCAUUACUGAUUGGAAGCUUAGCAAUCCGUAUUAUCCCAGUCAUGUGCUAUUAUCGCGCUAAUAUUUUUCUUGGUACCGUCAUGUGCUAUUAUCGCGCUAAUAUUAGAGAUGAAUGGUCUACUAAAGAAAGUUCACUUGGUAUGUCUUAUACUCUCUAGGGCAUAAAUGAGGAAUGCAAUUGGACAAAUUCCCACAAAUGUAUGUUUUUCACUUCAGUUGAUUGAGGUUUUGUGCAUAUGUAUUUGUUUUAUACCUUACUAUUAUUAUGUCUUGAAAUAAUUAUUCAUUUUAAAAAAGGAGUUUGUAUAACUGAUAACCAUUUCAUAAUUUAUAUACAAAAUAAUAUGCAUAUAAUCAAAUUAUGUUUAUUUA